rnacentral:rRNA from 1 species
AUGUCCAUCACCGCCCACUAUAUCAAUGCAGAAUUCAUCUACAAGAAGAAGAUCAUAAGUUUCGCAGAGGUGAAGUAUGCUCACACGGGCUAUGCGAUGGAAGAGGAACAAUGGGGCAUAAGGGGCAAGCUGUUCACUUUGACACUAGAUAAUGCCAGUAAUAAUACUAAUGCAUGUGAUGAGUUAAUAAAAUAUCACAAACAUGAGCUGCUCCUUGAAGGUCAACAUUUGCAUGUGAGGUGUUAUGCACACAUUCUCAAUAUCUUGGUUCGGGAUGGGAUGAAGAUAAUCCACGAAGCUAUUGACAUGAUAUGAGAGUUGCUGAAGUUUAUUGACUCUUCUCCUUCAAGACUUCAAUAUUUCAAUACAAUUGCAGGUGGGAUGGGUCUGCCUUCAAAGAAAGGUAUCUCUGAUACACCAACUAGAUGGAACUCAACAUGGAAAUCUCUGUGA